rnacentral:rRNA from 1 species
AGUGAACGCUGGCGGUAGGCCUAACACAUGCAAGUCGAACGGCAGCACAGUAAGAGCUUGCUCUUACGGGUGGCGAGUGGCGGACGGGUGAGGAAUACAUCGGAAUCUACUUUUUCGUGGGGGAUAACGUAGGGAAACUUACGCUAAUACCGCAUACGACCUACGGGUGAAAGCAGGGGAUCUUCGGACCUUGCGCGAUUGAAUGAGCCGAUGUCGGAUUAGCUAGUUGGUGAGGUAAAGGCCCACCAAGGCAACGAUCCGUAGCCGACCUGAGAGGAUGAUCGGCCACACUGGAACUGAGACACGGUCCAGACUCCUGCGGGAGGCAGCAGUCGGGAAUCUUCCGCAAUGGGCGAAAGACUGACGGAGCAACGCCGCGUGAGUGAUGAAGGUCUUCGGAUCGUAAAACUCUGUUAUUAGGGAAGAACAUAUGUGUAAGUAACUGUGCACAUCUUGACGGUACCUAAUCAGAAAGCCACGGCUAACUACGUG